UCUCACAGAUGAGCAAAGAAUGUGGUUUCUUGAGAUGGAAUCCAUUGGUGAAGAUGCUGUGAA
rnacentral:pre_miRNA from 1 species